rnacentral:rRNA from 1 species
GACGAACGCUGGCGGCGUGCCUAAUACAUGCAAGUUGAGCGAUGAAGAUUGGUGCUUGCACCAAUUUGAAGAGCAGCGAACGGGUGAGUAACGCGUGCGGAAUCUGCCUUUGAGCGGGGGACAACAUUUGGAAACGAAUGCUAAUACCGCAUAACAACUUUAAACAUAAGUUUUAAGUUUGAAAGCUGCAAUUGCAUCACUCAAAGAUGAUCCCGCGUUGUAUUAGCUAGUUGGUGAGGUAAAGGCUCACCAAGGCGGUGAUACAUAGCCGACCUGAGAGGGUGGUCGGCGACAUUGGGACGGGGACACGGCCCAAAGGACUACGGGAGGCAGCAGUCGGGAAUCUUAGGCAAUGGUCGAAAGUCUUACCGAGCAACGCCGCGUGAGUGAAGGAGGUGCUCGGAUCGUGAAACUCGGUUGGUAGAGGAGAACGGUUGUCAGAGUGGAAAGCUCAUGAAGUGACGGUAACUACACAGAAAGGGACGGCUAACUACGUG